UUUUUAUGGGAGGCAAGGAACAAGAGUGUUGCUUUGAUGGACAUGGUGAGAUGACAGGUAUCAAGGAUUCUUCUCUUUAUAUGCAUAUCUACAAGAUAUUCUAGAUUGACAAGAACAAGCAUCUUGGGUAAGUGUGGUGCCAAGCAGGACUGUUGCUGACCCAAAUGAUGAAACUUGCAAUGUCAGCAAUAUCAAGCAUGUUGAAGAAAAGAACCGUUGGCCACCUAUUUAUCUUGCACCUGCAGGAGUACAUUCUUGCAAGGUGAUCCACAUUAUCAACAGUACUUUUAGUGUCAUUGUAGUGGAGAAUUAGGUGCGGUUUCUUUUUGUCUCCUCCAACAGCCUUGUCUUGAUACAUAUUACUGACUUGCCCUUCUUUGGAGUGUAGGGGAAACCAAGGUGAGUAGCCCAGCAAACCCGAACACUGAUGACAACAAUUUUUCUCUGUCGCUAUGUGGAUGCAUCUCAUUGGGUAUAUCUAGUUUCAUCGCAUUGUUCCAGCAUAGGUCAAAUUUUUGUUAAGUAGAUCUUCAAUAAGCUGAAUACUUGUGAAGAAGGUAUCCCCCACUACAUUUCAUCCAAUCUUGUACCAGGGCUGAACACAAUAUCCUCAUUGGCUGAAGACUAACUUGAUAAACAAUCAACGGAAACAUGGUCUUCCUUCUCAGACCAACUGUCAACACAAUCUGGCACAAAGGCACUAUCACAUAAUAUGUUGUCAUCUCAUGACAACUUGCGUUCAGAGUUGCAAAUCAUUUUUAUAUGGUCAGAAUAUUGUGCUCUUCAUUUUCCAUCUUGGAUAGCGCAAUACACUCAAGUCCCCUCAAGAAUCUCUGAGUCUGCAGUAUUUGAAGGGCCAUGAUACCUGGAUAAAAAACUCCCCACAAGGAUGUUAGGCAAAGAAAGCCAGCAUCAUUCUGCUUUGUAUUGGGGGUACCCAACAAGCCUGGAUUUGAAAGGACAAACCUCCCUGGACUACCUUCUACAUUAGGAUAACUCUAUGCAGCACCGCCGCUAGUGCAAUGCAUUAUCAGUUAGCAAAUGCUGUUACGCUACGAGAUAGUCUCACUUCAUGCAAACGUACAUAAAACUACUAAAAAGACAGGAUAACUGUGCAACACAUUUGGAGUACAUUUAUACCCCACAUUUUUAAUAUAGAAAAAAUGUUUUUAUGCUAAAUUAAUUUUUUUGCAGAAUUGUGUACAUGUAUGUAGGUGACAGUGGCCUAAAACAACAUAAUUGGAAGGCAACUUGUUCAUGAGUUAUUGCAACAUAUGUGCUUGUGGGAUACAACAUUACCCCAUGAAUGUGGAUGAAGGUUAAGUGUAACAGUUGAUGCAAAAAAAUGUAUUCUGACCUGUGUGCAACUCCCACUGGCACCAUGUGGGGGGGGGGGGGAGUGAGAAGGGGAGGAAACUGAAUGUACUGUCUUUAGUUAAGCGUUUAAAAAUCUGAUUUCUUGUUCAAAUAUCCACAUUUUAGUAAAUAUAGAAAAGAAAUUAAUUUGUCACUGGCUAAGCAGAUGCAAGUCCACUAGCUUAAAUGGAAUUGUGACUGCUUAUGUGAGUGGUGAAUUUGUCCAAGUUAUAUUUUCAUUAUGGUGUGUGGAACCAACAGUGGUACUCCCUUUGCUUGGUAGUUUAGCUGCAUAUUAAUGUGUUGAAAACUGAUUCCUGUAGGAAUUCAUGUCUUCUGCCCAUCAGCAAAGGUUCAAAAAUAUUUAGCUAUCACAUGGUUAUUCAGAUUAAGUUUAGAAAGAGAAAUAUUUUCAAUUGCUUUCCUAUGCACUUUUGUAUACUGGAUAUAUCCAACUAUGACGACAAAGUCAGGAUCCAAACUUGACUUGUUUCCCUUUACUAAGGUUAGAAAAAUGCCUUGGCAGUAUGUUACUAUGGCUUGAGGUGCUGUGGGAUCAUCAUCUAAAAUACACACAGCUGGAUCCAUACUCCAUCCAAGUUCACACAUGCAGGAAGACCUUAUUCACAUACAACUCAAUGUUACAUAUGGAAACUUAUCCAUUCACAACAUACUAUGGCAUUUAUUUCUGGCCAAUAUAUAUAAGGAGUGAACUGUUUUGGAAGAACUUCAUUUGUGCAAUGUGUUUAACCAGGAAGCAACUAAUCUUUCUAUCCAUUUGGGAACCCCUGUUGUUAAUGCUGCAUCAUAAAGUAUUUACCCAAUGGAUAUGAGCACAUAUUUUGCCAAUUCUGGCUGGUUAUAUUAUGAUGAAUAAAUGCUCUGUACUUCAA